rnacentral:rRNA from 1 species
GUGGGGAAUUUUGGACAAUGGGCGCAAGCCUGAUCCAGCCAUGCCGCGUGCAGGAAGAAGGCCUUCGGGUUGUAAACUGCUUUUGUACGGAACGAAACGGUCCGGGUUAAUACCCUGGGCUAAUGACGGUACCGUAAGAAUAAGCACCGGCUAACUACGUGCCAGCAGCCGCGGUAAUACGUAGGGUGCAAGCGUUAAUCGGAAUUACUGGGCGUAAAGCGUGCGCAGGCGGUUUUGUAAGACAGGCGUGAAAUCCCCGGGCUCAACCUGGGAAUUGCGCUUGUGACUGCAAGGCUGGAGUGCGGCAGAGGGGGAUGGAAUUCCGCGUGUAGCAGUGAAAUGCGUAGAUAUGCGGAGGAACACCGAUGGCGAAGGCAAUCCCCUGGGCCUGCACUGACGCUCAUGCACGAAAGCGUGGGGAGCAAACAGGAUUAGAAACCCCAGUAGUCC